GUUGAAAGAUGAAGUUAUAUCUCGAGCAAGAAUGACAUCUGAUGUUAGUUUUCUGAAUGAGAUAACUACUCGGAAUUGCUCCAUUUGCUGCAUUAUUAGCAGUUGCAGUAUUGGCAAUUACUGUACCUGAUUUUUUUUUUUCUUGCUGAAUGAUUCUCAAAAUCUUUGUAAAUUGUAGAUAAUGCAUGCUAUAUCUGUUGUGCAUCUGUGUAUUGAAGAGGCGCAACAGGUACAGCGCCUUGAAACUCUCCAGGCGGGCGACCGACUGAGGCGCAAGGCGCGCCCCAGUUACGCCAGGCCCCCUAUAAAAGGCAACCAUGUUUUUUUAGGGCUCUUUAACCUAGUCGCAGACAGCAGACAGCAGCCAGCGAGGGAGAAA
rnacentral:misc_RNA from 1 species